UCUUUAAAAAAGGAAACUUCAAGAGCCACACAUACUUAAUAUUUUGAUAAGCUAUCAUUUUACGAAGCACGUGAUCUGAAAUUGAUACAUGUUCUAAGACUAUUUCUUAUAGCAAAGCUUUUUCCACCACUGGAAAAGGAAAUUAAAGAAAUAAUUUGGAGUUGAGUUAGCUGUUGACAACGGGUGCUAUUUCUCCUGUAAGCCUUGGUGUCCCUGAAGCAUUUCUGGGAAAGGAAGAGACAGUUACUGGAGGGGAGAGCAGUAACACUAUUUGGAGGUGAAGCAGUUUGCCAAAUUCACUAUGUCACGUCAUGGGAUUGUGGAUGAAACGACAGGUUGACAGCCUUCCAGAUGGCACAAGUAGGUGGAGGCCUUACCACCAGGUGUCUCCAAACAAGAGGAAGGAUAUAUAUAAUCUUUCAAGAGCAAACCUGCCUGACCUCUUUGCUCUAGGACCUCUGAAGUUUACAGCCUCAUCCGGACCCAAGAAUGACAGGGAAGUGUUUGAAUUAAACAAUAAGCCUUCCCAUGGGAAAAGGUUCUGUGCUGUGCCUCUUGAAUGAAUAGGCGUUGCCUGUGGUGGGGCAGUUUUUACUUCCUCUGGGGAGCUGUCUGUUCAGCUUCAGCAGAUGAGUGACCAGUGGAUGAAGGAGAUUUUUUCUGCUACCCUCACUUUUCCUUGAGGAUCAAACACUAACACAUGUGAACUUCUCCACCAGCCUCCAGAGUGCAAGAGACCGAAUCUCUUGAAUGCUGGAUCCCAGGCUGGAGAGAGGCCUUAAAUCCUCGGGUGAAACAUUUGCAUUUUCUUGGCUGGCUACAGAAGCUAUAGUAUUCUGGGACCAGAAACCAUCAGAGUUCAAGAAAAGACGUGGUGAUGAAGAGAUGAUGUUGGGAAGCACACACUCUUGUAUGUCCCUGGCAAACAUAUGUUUUCCCUGCUCUUCAGGUCAACAUACUUCCUAAUGUUUGUAACACUGUGGCUAUCAGUACUCGUUCAAGGUCCUUUGCCUAUAGAAUAUAUAAGCAUAUGAAAAAAAGCAUUCAGGACAAAGCUUAUAGCAGCAUAGUUUGUGACCCUGAGAAAUGAGAAACAACUCAAUAAACAUGACACAAAAUAACACACUCACUUAGGUACCAGGCAGCUCUUCCCUGAGGUUUUUUUCUUUGCUUGUUUUUUUCCUGAGCAUAGCUAGUCAACACAAGAAACCAUCAAACAAAAGAAACUACAUACAAAGGAGUGGAUGUUAGAUGUCACUUGUAUCUAGUCUGAGGUGAGGUGACAGUAACUUGGAAUUUGACUGAGAGUCCCCCCCCACCAGAAGGAUUUCUGGGUUCUAUGAGUGUCCUACUCUAUAGACUGAUCCGCUGGCAUGGGGAAGGGAGGGGAGAGAUCACUUCAUAAUGUUCACCAAACUUAAAUUGCUUUUAUUUUCUUCUUGUCUACUAUGCUUCAAUAACAUUUCGCAAGAGAAAGAUUGGAAAUAAUAGAGACAACAUAGAAUGAAGCUUGGCGUGGGUAGAGGUAGGGGGACAGAAAGGCAUAGAGUGCAUACAUUACAGUGUACAAGGACCCCAGUUCAAUCCCUCUGUUCCCCACCUGCAGGGGGUAACUUCAGGGGCAGUGAAGCAGUGCCACAGGUGUCAUUCUUUCUACCUUUCUAUCUCUUUCUUCUCUCUCAGUUUCCCUCUAUCUCUGUCAGAAAAGUAAAUAAAUAUGUAUUUUAAAAAGAAAGAAGAUUGCUUUACAGAAUAAGGUAAGAUAGAAGUUGAAAAACAAGAUUCUAAGAGAAAACACUAAGCAGAACCUGGACUGGAGUUGGUGUAUUGCGCCAAAGUAAAAGA